AUACACGGAACGGGCGUCAAAAUUCACGGAGGACACGACGAGUACGCGGUGUGAAAAGCAUAUCACGUGCCUGAUUGCUUUCUCGUCGUCUUCCUCGCUACAUCAUCAAUCCGUACGUUUCCAGCAGAGAGGAUUCAUCCUUCGCAGGCCAGGUGGAGCAAUCUGCGCCAUCGUUCGUUGUGGCUCAAGAUUGAAUGGUCCUCAUUGUUUUCCCGUUGUGGAUUGUACCUUUUCGAUUUGUUCCCCCAAGAUUGUUAGCUGUAAAAAUAAUACCCCAUUUUUUUCCCCUUUGGAAUUUUUUUUUUUGAAGUUGUAGCGGAGGAUUCUCUGUUUUUGGAUGAAAUUUUGGGAUUAGAAUUCAAAACCCCCUAGUUCUAAUACAAUUUUGCACUCACCCUUUUCCCCUCAUUUUUUUCGAAACCCUACAUCUCCAUCUAUAUAUUAGUUUUUGUUCUAGAAAAAAGGGUUUUUUUUUAUCUUGAAUAAGAGGGAACGAAAAUUUUGGAAAGAAUUCUUUUGAAGGUAGAAACAUAGAGGGAGAGAGUUGUUUUUGGAUUUUUCUUUUUUUGAGAAAGGUCUUGAACUUUGAAAAGACUUGGUUUGGGGGAAAUAGCUUGAACAUUGAAAAGAAGCAGUAGCUUUUAGCUAUAAAAUCUCAUAUAUAAACAUUUAGAGAGUAUCUCUUGGAGGCAGAAACAGUGAAAGUUUCAAGUGUAGCUCGAGUCAUUGUUUGCCUCUUAUUUAUCGAAACUUCGAGGAAGUCAUUUCCUGCUCACUCGUCUCUCAGUUCGCUGCAUCGUAACAGUUACAGUAAGUGCUAAUGAUAUUUUCAUACUCUGUCACAUGUGAAAUCUGCCUCUGAGUCCGCAUGGGACCAAAUUUUAUCCUAACAUAUUCGAGGGAGUCGUAAAGACUCAUGCUAUCGUCUAUCGAGUUCACCAACAAAACCGAUGAACAGGCCCCCAAAUUGAAGAAUAGAGUCAAUUGAAGAGUUGAAGAAAAUUGGGUCAUGAAGACCCAAAUUUUAUUUUUUCCUUAAAAUUUGUAUUUCGUUGUUGUUGGGCCUAAGCCCAUUUAAUUAUUUACUUAUUGUAUUCUUAGAAUUUAGGACAGGUACAGGUGAAGUGGGCCAAAGGCCCAAAACAAAUGGGUCAAAAACCCAAAACAUGUGAGUCCAAAAACCGGUUAAGGCGAAUAGAAAACCCAGAUAUGGACUCAACUCUCUCUCCCUCUCUCUCCCUCUUUAUAUGUUUUUUCAA